GAUGAACGCUGGCGGCGUGCCUAAUACAUGCAAGUCGAGCGAACAGACGCGGAGCUUGCUCCUCUGACGUUAGCGGCGGACGGGUGAGUAACACGUGGAUAACCUACCUAUAAGACUGGGAUAACUUCGGGAAACCGGAGCUAAUACCGGAUAAUAUAUUGAACCGCAUGGUUCAAUAGUGAAAGACGGUUUUGCUGUCACUUAUAGAUGGAUCCGCGCCGCAUUAGCUAGUUGGUAAGGUAACGGCUUACCAAGGCAACGAUGCGUAGCCGACCUGAGAGGGUGAUAGGCCACACUGGAACUGAGACACGGUCCAGACUCAUACGGGAGGCAGCAGUAGGGAACCCUCCGCCAUGGGCGAAAGCCUGACGGAGCACCGCCGCGUGAGUGACGACGGUCUUCGGACCGUAAAACUCUGUUCUUAGGGAAGAACAAAUGUGUAAGUACCUAUGCACGUCUUGACGGUACCUAAUCAGAAAGCCACGGCUCCCUACGUG
rnacentral:rRNA from 1 species